GUUGAAUUGAAUUAAAUUGCAAAGACACAACAGAAUUCUUCAGAAUUAUUUACUAAAUAAUUUACACAUCUGUUUGUAAUCUCACCAGUUGAAUUGGCUGAAGUAUGCAAUAAGCAUCUGGCUAGUUCAAUUACAAAUACAGAACAAUACAGCCUGUCUACUAUGAACACACGUACUAACUACUGGAUAUAUAUUGUUUGAACAAAAUGAUGAUCACAAUUUACGUGCUUAGAAGCUUUCACUCGUUCUCCGGAGGCCAAAGAAAGGCACCCAUGGCAAAAUUUCUCUUCCGAUCAACAUCCCCCACGAUGGGUAGUCCAUACUCUUUGAGCAAGCAGUCCAACUUCCAUUCAGCCAUGGCCUCGUAGUCACUUUUCUUGAAUCUUGGAUAGUGCAGUGGCAUCUGGAAGCAGGAGUACUUGUCCCUCUUGCUUUCUUCAUGAUGGUACGCAUUAGGCCUCAAAUCUGGCAUAGCGUAGGCAUUGUUGGAGCAAGCAGUUCCACUCAUCUUCACCUCUACCGAUGAUCUUUGAGCACAAAUCAUGACUGGCUAGUUUUCCUUUUAUAGACAACCUGGACUAGAGAGCAAGGAAACUAGAAGACUGGAGUGUGUAUUAGAACAAGACAAAGGCUAAGAGUUGAGUGCCAUUGUAUCUUGCAAUGGAGGCUAUCUGUCAUAAUCCAAAUUAAAUGCCCUAAGAAUU
rnacentral:misc_RNA from 1 species